rnacentral:rRNA from 1 species
UACGUAGGGUGCGAGCGUUAAUCGGAAUUACUGGGCGUAAAGCGUGCGCAGGCGGUUUGAUAAGCCAGAUGUGAAAUCCCCGAGCUCAACUUGGGAACUGCGUUUGGAACUGUCAGACUAGAGUGCGUCAGAGGGGGGUGGAAUUCCACGUGUAGCAGUGAAAUGCGUAGAGAUGUGGAGGAACACCAAUGGCGAAGGCAGCCCCCUGGGCCAAUACUGACGCUCAUGCACGAAAGCGUGGGUAGCAAACAGGAUUAGAUACCCCCGUAGUCC